rnacentral:rRNA from 1 species
UGGAUGCUGACGAGCGGCGGACGGGUGAGUAAUGCAUAGGAAUCUGCCCGAUAGUGGGGGAUAACCUGGGGAAACCCAGCUAAUACCGCAUACGUCCUACGGGAGAAAGGGGGCUCCGGCUCCCGUUAUGGGAUGAGCCUAUGUCGGAUUAGCUAGUUGGUGAGGUAACGGCUCACCAAGGCCACGAUCCGUAGCUGGUCUGAGAGGAUGAUCAGCCACAUCGGGACUGAGACACGGCCCGAACUCCUACGGGAGGCAGCAGUGGGGAAUAUUGCACAAUGGGGGAAACCCUGAUGCAGCCAUGCCGCGUGUGUGAAGAAGGCCUUCGGGUUGUAAAGCACUUUCAGCGAGGAGGAAAGGUUGAUGCCUAAUACGUAUCAGCUGUGACGUUACUCGCAGAAGAAGCACCGGCUAACUCCGUGCCAGCAGCCGCGGUAAUACGGAGGGUGCAAGCGUUAAUCGGAAUUACUGGGCGUAAAGCGCACGCAGGCGGUUGGAUAAGUUAGAUGUGAAAGCCCCGGGCUCAACCUGGGAAUUGCAUUUAAAACUGUCCAGCUAGAGUCUUGUAAGGGGGGUAGAAUUCCAGGUGUAGCGGUGAAA